GCCUGGGUGGCUCAGUCAGUUAAGCGUCUGACUUCAGCUCAGGUCAUGAUCUCGCAGUCUGUGAGUUCAAGCCUCACGUCGGGCU
rnacentral:tRNA from 1 species